rnacentral:rRNA from 1 species
UACGUAGGGGGCAAGCGUUGUCCGGAUUUAUUGGGCGUAAAGAGCGUGUAGGCGGCCAUGUAGGUCCGUUGUGAAAACUCGAGGCUCAACCUCGAGACGCCGAUGGAAACCAUGUGGCUAGAGUCCGGAAGAGGAGAGUGGAAUUCCUGGUGUAGCGGUGAAAUGCGCAGAUAUCAGGAAGAACACCGGUGGCGAAGGCGGUUCUCUGGGCAUUACCUGACGCUGAGGAGCGAAAGCAUGGGGAGCGAACAGG